AUGCAUCAUGUGUGCCUCUGUUUUGUUUCCCUCUUGUAUUCAUAUGUCUUGCUUCACAUAUCAUGGCACUUGAUAUAUGCAUGGUUGUUGGCGAUCGGACGCCACCACCGCCGCCGAUGCCAUCAUGGCUCUUGCCGCCGUCAAACAUUAAGCUACCAUGUAACUAGCUUUUACCUCCCGGGAGUAGCAGCCAAGUUUUUACCAGGUACUCCUCUGGCUACUCCCGGGAUCAGCGCCUCGCCGUCGGAGGAGAACAUGCGCUACUUCAAUGUCAUGGUCCUUGGCCCCGCGCAGUCGCCCUACGAAGGUGGAGUCUUCAAGCUUGAACUUUUCUUACCCGAGGAAUAUCCGAUGGCUGCUCCUAAAGUUAGGUUUCUCACAAAAAUAUACCAUCCCAACAUUGACAAGCUUGGUAGAAUAUGCCUCGACAUCCUAAAGGACAAGUGGAGUCCAGCUCUUCAGAUACGCACUGUUCUUUUGAGCAUUCAGGCACUGCUGAGCGCCCCAAACCCAGAUGAUCCUCUCUCAGAAAACGUCGCAAAACACUGGAAAUCCAAUGAAGCUGAAGCUGUUGAGACAGCGAAGGAAUGGACUCGUAUGUAUGCCAGUGGCGCAUGA
rnacentral:rRNA from 1 species